rnacentral:lncRNA from 1 species
UGAUGCAGGAGGACUCAGGGUGAUGUAGGAGGACUCAGGGUGAUGCAGGAGGACUCAGGGUGAUGCAGAAGGACUCCAGAGGGCACGUGACCUAAGCCUUUAACUAGUCCUUCCCAGAAGGACUCAGGGAAGAUGCAGGGAGGACUCAGGGUGAUGCAGGAGGACUCAGGGGUGAUUCAGAGGAGGACUCAGGGGUGAUGCAGGAGGACUCAGGGGUGAUGUAGGAGGACUCAGGGUGAUUCAGAGGAGGACUCAGGGGUGAUGCAGGAGGACUCAGGGUGAUUCAGAGGAGGACUCAGGGGUGAUGCAGGAGGACUCAGGGGUGAUGCAGGAGGACUCAGGGUGAUUCAGAGGAGGACUCAGGGGUGAUUCAGAGGAGGACUCAGGGUGAUGCAGGAGGACUCAGGGGUGAUGCAGGAGGACUCAGGGGUGAUGCAGGAGGACUCAGAGUGAUUCAGAGGAGGACUCAGGGUGAUUCAGAGGAGGACUCAGGGGUGAUUCAGAGGAGGACUCAGGGUGAUGCAGGAGGACUCAGGGGUGAUACAGGAGGACUCAGGGGUGAUGCAGGAGGACUCAGGGUGAUGCAGGAGGACUCAGGGGUGAUGCAGGAGGAUUCAGGGGGAUGCAGGAGGACUCAGGGUGAUUUAGGGGCGGACACUGUGAGCCAUGCUGAGGAGCAGCAAUACCGUGAGAAGGUGUGCUGUGACCCAGCUCUGCCCUGUCCCCGCAGGUGGAGUGUCACUGGUGUGAGCCAGGAGCACAGCAGGGCUCUAGCAGCUGGUUGAGAUGCUGCCCACAGCAUGGCUGUCACCUGCUUUUGUGCCCCCAGUUUGUCUGGAUCCCUGCUCCAGAGCCGGUUGGAGGCCUUGGAGAGCUGAGGGGACCCGUUGCCCACUCUCUGCGCUGCCGGCAUCCUAACCUCUCCACGUGGAGGGCGGAGGUGGAGGCAGAGGCUCACUGCUGUCCUCCAGAGCCUGGGGAGCUGACUGAGGCUCAGGAUCCGGCCAGGAGAGGCCCCACACAGGACCCCAGUCCCCCCCCGAGCUCCUGGCAUCUCAGCAGCCAGCAGGUGGCUUGGAUUCAGCCCACUGAGGGUCCCAGCAGGACACUGGAGGGGCAGAUGAGAGGAAGCUGGCCCAGCAGACACUAUGUGCAGUGGCAGGGCAGAGCUGGACCGCUGGCCUGGGAGCGAGGGAGCAUCUGCAGGGCCGGCAGAGACCGGUUGUCCCUGGAAACCUCUCUGGAGGGGAGGUGCUAGCCGGCCAUCACCACGGCUCCUGUCCACUGUCCCGACAUUCCUCAGCUUUGUGGUGACCUGGAGAACUGCACGGUCCUCCCAAUCAACCUCACUGCCA